rnacentral:rRNA from 1 species
GAUGAACGCUGGCGGCGUGCCUAAUACAUGCAAGUCGAGCGAACGGACGAGAAGCUUGCUUCUCUGAUGUUAGCGGCGGACGGGUGAGUAACACGUGGAUAACCUACCUAUAAGACUGGGAUAACUUCGGGAAACCGGAGCUAAUACCGGAUGAUAUUUUGACCCGCAUGGUUCAAAAGUGAAAGACGGUCUUGCUGUCACUUAUAGAUGGAUCCGCGCUGCAUUAGCUAGUUGGUAAGGUAACGGCUUACCAAGGCAACGAUGCAUAGCCGACCUGAGAGGGUGAUCGGCCACACUGGAACUUAGACACGGUCCAGACUCCUACGGGAGGCAGCAGUAGGGAAUCUUCCGCGAUGGGCGAAAGCCUGACGGAGCAACGCCGCGUGAGUGAUGAAGGUCUUCGGAUCGUAAAACUCUGUUAUUAGGGAAGAACAUAUGUGUAAGUAACUGUGCACAUCUUGACGGUACCGAAUCAGAAAGCCACGGCUAACUACGUG